GACAGAGGGUGCAAACGUUGUUCGGAAUUACUGGGCGUAAAGGGCGCGUAGGCGGCCGUUUGCGUCGGAUGUGAAAGCCCGGGGCUCAACCUCGGAACGGCAUUCGAUACGGGACGGCUGGAGACCGGGAGAGGAGAGUGGAAUAGCCAGUGUAGAGGUGAAAUUCGUAGAUAUUGGCUGGAACACCGGUGGCGAAAGCGGCUCUCUGGCCCGGUUCUGACGCUGAGGCGCGAAAGCGUGGGGAGCAAACAGG
rnacentral:rRNA from 1 species